rnacentral:rRNA from 1 species
AUGACGUCAAGUCAUCAUGGCCCUUACGGCCAGGGCUACACACGUGCUACAAUGGUCGGUACAAAGGGCUGCCAAGCCGCGAGGUGGAGCUAAUACCCAUAAAACCGAUCGUAGUCCGGAUCGCAGUCUGCAACUCGACUGCGUGAAGUCGGAAUCGCUAGUAAUCGUGAAUCAGAAUGUCACGGUGAAUACGUUCCCGGGCCUU